rnacentral:rRNA from 1 species
UACGGAGGGGGCUAGCGUUGUUCGGAAUUACUGGGCGUAAAGGGCGCGUAGGCGGUGCGGUAAGUUAGGCGUGAAAGGCCCGGGCUCAACCCGGGAACUGCGCUUAAGACUGCCGCGCUGUGAGUCCGGGAGAGGAUGGCGGAAUUCCCAGUGUAGAGGUGAAAUUCGUAGAUAUUGGGAAGAACACCAGUGGCGAAGGCGGCCAUCUGGCCCGGUACUGACGCUGAGGCGCGAAAGCGUGGGGAGC